UGGGAAUUAAAUAACCUGCUCCUGAAUGACCAUUGGGUCAACAAUGAAAUCAAGAUAGAAAUUUAAAAAUUCUUUGAACUCGGCUGGGUGCGGUGGCUCACGCCUGUAAUCCCAGCACGUUGGGAGGCUUAGGCGUUAGGCACAGGUAUAACAAAGCAUGCUUUCUAUGAACUAACUGUCAGAUCAUAUUAUAACACAAAUGCGAGGCCGUUCUCUCAUUAACAGGAAAUGAAUUUUUGUCAGAUGGUUUUCUUAGGUCAGUGAACAUCUUGUUCUCACUUGUUGUGGCUUAG
rnacentral:lncRNA from 1 species